rnacentral:rRNA from 1 species
UACGUAGGGGGCUAGCGUUGUCCGGAAUCAUUGGGCGUAAAGAGCGUGUAGGCGGCUCGGUAAGUCUGCUGUGAAAGUCCAGGGCUCAACCCUGGAAUGCCGGUGGAAACUGUCGAGCUAGAGGACGGGAGAGGAGCGCGGAAUUCCCGGUGUAGCGGUGAAAUGCGUAGAGAUCGGGAGGAAGGCCGGUGGCGAAGGCGGCGCUCUGGAACGUUUCUGACACUGAGGCUCGAAAGCGUGGGGAGCAAACAGG